rnacentral:rRNA from 1 species
CUGGUUGAUCCUGCCAGUAGUCAUAUGCUUGUCUCAAAGAUUAAGCCAUGCAUGUCUCAGUGCACGCCUUUAUACGGUGAAACCGCGAAUGGCUCAUUAAAUCAGCUAUGGUUUAUUGGAUCAUACCCGUUAAAUGGAUAACUGUAAUAACUCUAGAGCUAAUACAUGCCAUUAUGCCCUGACCCUCACGGGAAUGGGUGCACUUAUUAGAUCAGAAGCCAACCGUGUAUGGCCGAAAGGAUGUGCAUGUUGACCUUCUGGUGACUCUGGAUAAUUGUUACAGAUCGCAGUCGGCCUUGAGUCGGCGACGGGUCCUUCAAAUGUCUGCCCUAUCAACUUUCGAUGGUAGGUGACCUGCCUACCUUGGUGAUAACGGGUAACGGGGAAUCAGGGUUCGAUUCCGGAGAGGGAGCCUGAGAAACGGCUACCACUUCCAAGGGAGGCAGCAGGCGCGCAAAUUACCCACUCCCAGCACGGGGAGGUGGUGACGAAAAAUACCGAUGCGGGACUCCUAGACGAGGCUCCGUAAUCGGAAUGAGUCGACUAUAAAUCCUUUAACGAGGAUCAAUUGGAGGGCAAGUCUGGUGCCAGCAGCCGCGGUAACUCCAGCUCCAAUAGCGUAUAUUAAAGUUGCUGCAGUUAAAAAGCUCGUAGUUGGAUCUCGGUAUCACUGUUGCCCGUCAGUCCUUAGGCGACAGACUGCGUGUGCAUGGGUUUGACUCGUGUUGCCGUGGUUGGUCGUCUGAGUUGGCGGUGUGACGGUGUGGCCUUUCAGCCAUGUCUGUGGUGAAAUACCCGCAGGUGUAGGCGAGUGUCAGGCGGUGCCUUGCGAAAGUAGGGCUCGUCGGCUCGUCUGCAUGCCUUUGGAUGCCCUUCAAAAGGUGUCUGUGGGCGGAUGGCACGUUUACUUUGAACAAAUUUGAGUGCUCAAACCAGGCCGAUGUUGCCCGAAAAGUUUCGCAUGGAAUAAUGGAAUAGGACUUCGGUUCUAUUUCGUUGGUUUUCGGAUCCGAAGUAAUGAUCAAAAGAGACAGGCGGGGG